UCCACGCGGACAUUUUGCCAUUGUAUUGCAUAAAGCAGCGGCAGGGGAUGAACAGAGGGAUCACACAUAUUGGGACUCGAGGCCAGCAGAAGCCCCAGCAUGCUCGACGUCCUGAAAAGACAUCGGCAAGCAAGUUACGAUCGUCCAAAAGUCGCCCAGGGGAAGUUGAUGCCAAAAGAGUCCAGUGAGCCUUAGAUGCCGCUUCCUCAUCGCCGAAGCUUGAAACGCACAGUUGUCACCGGUAUCGAAACGACAGUGAGCAGGGAGAACAGGAGUUUCAAAGCUUCCCAAUUCAGAUGGAAACCUGCCGAACGGAGCUCUCUGUUUGGACAGCACAUGUUGAAAUCGACUGUCAAAAAGAAGUUGAUCUGAGCUGGAGCUGCAGAUAUGCUGCGGACACUUUAAAGUGCCUUACGAAACCUUUUUAAAUAAGGGCAGUUUCUGUGGAAGAGCAAGGGAUUCUGAGUAGCAGUCAUCUCGCAGCGUUGUGUCCGAUAGUCACCCUGACCGUCUGAUUUUGCACUUUUUAUAACUUAUAUUAUUAGCUUUUUGUUUUAAGAACAUGAUUUACUUUAACUGAAUGUCUUAUUGUUUAGUGUUCAAAAUAUAUCAGCCCGAGUGAUCGUGGCAGCAACACUACAGAAUAAUAUUAAAAACACUUUAAGUGCACGUAUCACAGUUGGUCAUGUUUGCGUUCCCCUUUCUACGAAGGGGUUUGUAAAGCUGAGUUCUUCAACAGGAGAAAUUGAGCACUUUCUUACUCGUGGAACUUUGUGCUGUAUACAUGUAUAAUAGACUAAUUUAUGAUUGGGAUUCUUUUAUUUAUGUUGUAGUUUAAGUAGAUAACACAAGUUAUUAUGUGGUUGAUUUUUUUCCAGUAUUAAUACCUGGUGACUUUUAAAAAAGAGUUUGUACUUUAUCUGUGAGUUAUGUACGUUGUCUGUUGAAAUGAUCUCUUUAGUGCGAUCUGUGAUUAAGAACCAAAGACAUUCCAGCGAUCGGAGAGAUUCUGCCUUUCUCUGCCAAAUAUCUUUCUAUGUACUCUAUGUCGUGUACAGACGAUGCUUAAACAGUGAGGGAAACAGAUACUGUGAAAUGUCUAGGUCAUCAACAGAAAAGAUGAAGUAAGAGAUUCCUUUUAUCACAAAACAUGCUUCGGUUCAUCUCGGUAAGAAACACUAUUUAUAUAUGUUUUAGUCAUGGGUCCUAAGAUACCCACUGUUCAUGUAUCAUUCCAAUGGUGCCAGUAAUCAUCACAUUUCCAUGCCUGUUAAGAUGCAGAUUCUUCAGGGUCGUGAGGUUUUUAGUAUUUUGUUCAAAUUGACUGACUGCUUUGUUUCCGUUCAGUCGAUCAUGUAAGAGUAGUUGCUGCUUUAAGUCGACUCUACUAGUGUUACCUUUUAAUAAGGGAAGGUGGACUGGGUGUGUCAGUAGUAGGAUUUUGUAGAAGAGUUGUCUUCCAUACAAAUUGUUUAAUUGUCAAAUCUCUAAAUAAUAAAGUUUAUUUUCUGUC